GAAUUAUGAUAGAAAUUUAGUCUUCUCUCUCUUCUCACCUCUUUUCUCUUUUUCCACUCCCUCUCCACGCCAAGUUCCACCCCCCUCUCUGUGUAAAUUUUCAACAGCCUGCUCUCUCCCUCCGUUCAGCUGCACACCUCAUCCCCGAAAUCGCCGGCGAAGUUGUCGGGAUGCCAAAAGCGCACAUAGCUUGCCCAAGUCCCAAUUCCCAUUAGUAUAUCUCCAUGUUAUAAAUUGAAAUUCAAAUCUACAUCAAACCAAUAUCCAAAAUAGGUACAGUAGGAGGUGAACCGAGUGCAAGCACAAGCGAUAAGGGAAAAUGGCACCUCCAUGGUUGACUAAGCAAGUAAUAGCGGUUUCUUUUGUGACGUGUACAGAGUAUAGAAGCGAGUGAACUCGCUAGUUGGCAGCAGCACGUGUCAAGUCAUUACCCCCCCUUUUUUGCUGGUAAAGUUAGAGUUUACACGUGGCAUGCUUAGGCUCUCUUUUGUUUGUAAAUAGUUGGGUUACAAAUGUAAGGUUAUAACCUUCUUUUUGCUAGUGAAGUUGUAUAUUUAUCUAUCGAAACAGGUUAAUGUUAUUUUGUUAUGUAUAGUAGUAAAUAGUUGUGUUAUCA